rnacentral:tRNA from 1 species
GCCUGAGUGGCUCAGUGGUUGAGUGUCUGCCUUCAGCUCAGGUUGUCAUCCUGGGGUCCUGGGAUCGAGUCCCACAUCAGGCU